CCAAGUGCUCACCGCAUCAGCUUCUGGUGAAGAUUGACCGAGACGGAGAAAUUGAGAUGUACAGUGGUGAAGUGCUUUGCCAAAAGUCAUACAGUUAGACAGUAGAGUCAGAGUUACUGGCAGCUGAAGCAGUGUUCAGUGGGCUCAGAGGCCUACACAUGGAUAUUUGCUUUGCUGUGUUAA